UAACAUUGUAUUGUGGGGAAAAUGU
rnacentral:piRNA from 1 species